AACAUGAUGCAGUUUUUUUUGUUUGAAAAACAGUUAAAAUCUUACAGUAGAAGAAAAUUUAGUUACUGCAAUAAUUAGACAUUUUCUUAUUUACUAUAGAUAAUGUUAUAAUUUCAAACCAAAAUUACAACUCACAUCCUUUCUAGUGGUUUC